rnacentral:lncRNA from 1 species
CCCAGCUUAAUUUCUCUAACACGUGAAGGAUACACGGAUAAUAAUAUGGUUCUUUAAUUUUUCAACUCCACAUAAUUUAUUUAAGUCACAAUUUCUAUGGUGCACGCCCACACGCUCGUCACCUAACAUGUGCGUUACCUCCAACAAUUGAUAUAACAUAAUAUUUAGGGAUUCAUACCCUCAGAACCAAGUUUAGAAAUGCUAAUUACCUCAAACCGUGUAAUUUCUUACUCCGCUAUGCCCUUACCUCGUGAAUUGGUCUCUGAAAGCUUUGUAUCUAACCACAAUUAAUUCAAUUCAGUCAAUGUAAAUUAUUAGAAUUAAUUCCAUAACAAAAUACUAAUUAUCCACCUACUGUGAGUAAAGCAAUGUCAAGGUAUGAAUAAAGUGUUUGAAAUUUCAAUAAAGGAUUAUCUAACAAAUUUAAAAGUAUAUCCAACGAACUUAACAUCAUGGAUGACUUACUUUGAAGGAAAAGAACAAACAGCAAUCUUACACAAUGGAGCAGAUUCACGCCGAUUAAAUUGAUUACACUUCCUUCUUAAUUAUUUGGAGUCAACAUGAAUUAAUAGCUAAAGAGUAGAUUUGCAUAUAAUGACAUGAAAUUGGGAAACAAUAGUACAACUUUUAGCCUCAAUUUAUGAAUGUAAAAGAACUGAUUUAUUAUAUCAAACAGUCAUACUCGAAAUCUUACAUCAAUAAACAACCUUUAGAAAAUUAUUCUGCCCAACCACGAUUUCAAAAAAAUAAUGUUACUGAAUGGUCUAAUUGCAGUAGUGACUCAGUUAUAGGUAAAUGAUUCCACUCGUGCUUCAGUUUUCUUACACAUUUAAUACUCAACAAUUUAUUCUUAACUUAAAUCCUUGAAAAACUUCAAACCAAAACAAUCUCAGAUUAAUACCUAUUUGGUCAAGCAUUUAGUAUAACAACAAAAUAUGACACACAUUUAAACAACUUUGAUGUAUAUCACAGUAUAACAGUGAUGAAUCACUGGGCGCAGCAAAUUUGAAGUUAAGAGGAACUGAUCUCAGGCCAAUUGUUCAUUUAACAAAAUUGAAAUUUAUGAAACUAAAAUCUAGGCCCAUUUGGCAAAUAGACAACGCAGCAACAAUAUGAGAUUCAAUUAAUCUAAUCAUUUAUUAGGCAAAUAAUACAAGUUUAGGAGAUGUACCUAUCAGCAGAAAUGAAAUAUCGACCAAAUAGAGAUCUAAAAAAUAGUGUGAUAGAACACAGCUGCAGCAAAAUCCACAAAAUCCACAACACUUCAAAUCGACAACCCAGUUUAUGAACCCAGCGAAUGAAACCAAUAGUAACAGAAUUAAACAGAAACAAAACUCUCUUUUCUAUCAACUCUCUUUUUCUAUUCUUCUUUUUUCCUUUUUUUUUUUUGAAUUUUCUAGGCGUAUGAAGACCAAGGGAUCAGAACGUAAAGAAAAUGCAGAAAAAGGUGAAUCAAAAAGAGAGAGACCCUUACUACCUCUAUCCCCUAUUUUUGCGUUCUUUUCUUUUAGAUCUGUAUUUCUCUAUUUCUUUUUAGUUCCAUCCGUCUAUGUGCGUGUAUUUGAGAGAAGAGAGUGUGGAGGUGAGCUUGUCGUUCCAUGAGAGAUGAGUGAGGUGAGAGAGAAGAAAGAGAGGGGUGGCAACUGAUUGAGAGAAGGGGGGAUCCGGUCUUCUGCUGAUCUUGAGAAUCAAAAG